CAGCGCCACGAGUGGCAUACACAUUUAUUGGGCCUAAAGCGUCCGUAGCCGGUCAGGUAAAUCCUUUGUGAAAUCAUAGAGCUUAACUCUAUGGCGUGCAGAGGACACUGCUUGACUUGGAACCGGGAGGAGUCAGAGGUAUUCUGGGGGGAGCGGUAAAAUGCUAUAAUCCCCAGAGGACCACCUGUGGCGAAGGCACUGUACUAGAACGGAUUCGACGGUGAGGGACGAAAGCCAGGGGAGCGAUCCGGAUUAGAUACCCGAGUAGUCC
rnacentral:rRNA from 1 species